UAGUCAAAUGCUUGUCUCAAAGAUUAAGCCAUGCAAGUGUCAGUUCAUGCCGAAUAUAAGGUGAAACCGCGAAAGGCUCAUUAAAUCAGUUAUAGUUUACUUGAUGGCAUCACGCGUUACCGUUACUUGGAUAACUGUGGCAAUUCUAGAGCUAAUACAUGCACUCGAGUCCCGACCGUUCGCGCGGAAGGGAUGCUUUUAUUAGAUCAAAACCAAUCGGAACGGUGUUAACGCUCCGCUCCGUGCAAGUUCUUGGUGACUCUGGAUAAAUUCCGCUGAUCGCGAGGUCUCUGCACCUGCGACGCAUCAUUCAAAUGUCUGACUUAUCAACUAUCGACGGUAGGCCACACGCCUACCGUGGUGGUAACGGGUAACGGGGAAUCAGGGUUCGAUUCCGGAGAGGGAGCCUGAGAAACAGCUACCACAUCCAAGGAAGGCAGCAGGCGCGCAAAUUACCCACUCCCGGCACGGGGAGGUAGUGACGAAAAAUAACGAUGCAGAACUCUUUUCCGAGGCUCUGCAAUCGGAAUGAGAAGACCCUAAAUCAUUUACCGAGUACCAAUUGGAGGGCAAGUCUGGUGCCAGCAGCCGCGGUAAUUCCAGCUUCAAUAGCGNNNNNNNNNNNNNNNNNNNNNNNNNNNNNNNGUAGUCGGACUUGUGUUUCCGCGCUGUCGGUUCACCGCCCGUCGGUGCAUAACUGGCAGUUUCACCCGCGGAACGUCCUGCCGGUUGGCGCAUCCCCGUACGCGUUCACGGGAUCAAUCCUUCCCUUUCUUCGUGCGUGCGGGAAAAAUCAAAAUCCCCCGUUCCGCCUCGGAAGGCCGAACGACGCCGGCGUUCAGCUCGGACGCGUCGGUCGCGCGCUGAUUUCUCGUCUGCCGCGACCCGACCGCGUUCGUGUCUGUCGCUAGCGGAGCGCGGUCGAUAAU
rnacentral:rRNA from 1 species